CGAGCAGCCAGCGACCCUGCAGAGCGGAGAAUGGGAGUAGAGCAGAGUGUCUGAACAGCACGCACACCCAUCUCCUCUCCGCCUCGCUCUCCUGACCUGUUCACCCAUCCA
ensembl:miRNA Mir8114 microRNA 8114